GUUAUAUGGUCAAGUGAAGAAGCGCAUACGGUGGAUGCCUUGGCAGUCAGAGGCGAUGAAAGACGUGGUAGCCUGCGAAAAGCUUCGGGGAGUCGGCAAACAGACUGUGAUCCGGAGAUGUCUGAAUGGGGGAACCCAGCCAUCAUAAGAUGGUUAUCUUGUACUGAAUACAUAGGUGCAAGAGGCGAACCAGGGGAACUGAAACAUCUAAGUACCCUGAGGAAAAGAAAUCAACCGAGAUUCCCUUAGUAGUGGCGAGCGAACGGGGACCAGCCCUUAAGUUGUAUUGAGAUUAGCGGAACGUUCUGGAAAGGACGGCCAUAGUGGGUGAUAGCCCUGUACGCGAAAAUCCCUUUGCAAUGAAAUCGAGUAGGACGGGGCACGAGAAACCUUGUCUGAAUAUGGGGGGACCAUCCUCCAAGGCUAAAUACUACUGACUGACCGAUAGUGAACCAGUACCGUGAGGGAAAGGCGAAAAGAACCGCGGAGAGCGGAGUGAAAUAGAUCCUGAAACCGUAUGCGUACAAGCAGUGGGAGCCCACUUUGUUGGGUGACUGCGUACCUUUUGUAUAAUGGGUCAGCGACUUAUUUUCAGUGGCGAGCUUAACCGAAUAGGGGAGGCGUAGCGAAAGCGAGUCUUAAUAGGGCGUCUAGUCGCUGGGAAUAGACCCGAAACCGGGCGAUCUAUCCAUGGGCAGGUUGAAGGUUGGGUAACACUAACUGGAGGACCGAACCGACUACCGUUGAAAAGUUAGCGGAUGACCUGUGGAUCGGAGUGAAAGGCUAAUCAAGCUCGGAGAUAGCUGGUUCUCCUCGAAAGCUAUUUAGGUAGCGCCUCAUGUAUCACUGUAGGGGGUAGAGCACUGUUUCGGCUAGGGGGUCAUCCCGACUUACCAAACCGAUGCAAACUCCGAAUACCUACAAGUGCCGAGCAUGGGAGACACACGGCGGGUGCUAACGUCCGUCGUGAAAAGGGAAACAACCCAGACCGUCAGCUAAGGUCCCAAAGUCAUGGUUAAGUGGGAAACGAUGUGGGAAGGCUUAGACAGCUAGGAGGUUGGCUUAGAAGCAGCCACCCUUUAAAGAAAGCGUAAUAGCUCACUAGUCGAGUCGGCCUGCGCGGAAGAUGUAACGGGGCUCAAACCAUGCACCGAAGCUACGGGUAUCAUCUUAUGAUGAUGCGGUAGAGGAGCGUUCUGUAAGCCUGUGAAGGUGAGUUGAGAAGCUUGCUGGAGGUAUCAGAAGUGCGAAUGCUGACAUGAGUAACGACAAUGGGUGUGAAAAACACCCACGCCGAAAGACCAAGGUUUCCUGCGCAACGUUAAUCGACGCAGGGUUAGUCGGUCCCUAAGGCGAGGCUGAAAAGCGUAGUCGAUGGAAAACAGGUUAAUAUUCCUGUACUUCUGGUUAUUGCGAUGGAGGGACGGAGAAGGCUAGGCCAGCCUGGCGUUGGUUGUCCAGGUUUAAGGUGGUAGGCUGAGAUCUUAGGUAAAUCCGGGAUCUUAAGGCCGAGAGCUGAUGACGAGUGUUCUUUUAGAACACGAAGUGGUUGAUGCCAUGCUUCCAAGAAAAGCUUCUAAGCUUCAGGUAACCAGGAACCGUACCCCAAACCGACACAGGUGGUUGGGUAGAGAAUACCAAGGCGCUUGAGAGAACUCGGGUGAAGGAACUAGGCAAAAUGGCACCGUAACUUCGGGAGAAGGUGCGCCGGUGGAGGUGAAGCAUUUACUGCGUAAGCCCCUGCCGGUCGAAGAUACCAGGCCGCUGCGACUGUUUAUUAAAAACACAGCACUCUGCAAACACGAAAGUGGACGUAUAGGGUGUGACGCCUGCCCGGUGCCGGAAGGUUAAUUGAUGGGGUUAGCGCAAGCGAAGCUCUUGAUCGAAGCCCCGGUAAACGGCGGCCGUAACUAUAACGGUCCUAAGGUAGCGAAAUUCCUUGUCGGGUAAGUUCCGACCUGCACGAAUGGCGUAACGAUGGCGGCGCUGUCUCCACCCGAGACUCAGUGAAAUUGAAAUCGCUGUGAAGAUGCAGUGUAUCCGCGGCUAGACGGAAAGACCCCGUGAACCUUUACUAUAGCUUUGCACUGGACUUUGAAUUUGCUUGUGUAGGAUAGGUGGGAGGCUUUGAAGCGUGGACGCCAGUCUGCGUGGAGCCAACCUUGAAAUACCACCCUGGCAACUUUGAGGUUCUAACUCAGGUCCGUUAUCCGGAUCGAGGACAGUGUAUGGUGGGUAGUUUGACUGGGGCGGUCUCCUCCUAAAGAGUAACGGAGGAGUACGAAGGUGCGCUCAGACCGGUCGGAAAUCGGUCGUAGAGUAUAAAGGCAAAAGCGCGCUUGACUGCGAGACAGACACGUCGAGCAGGUACGAAAGUAGGUCUUAGUGAUCCGGUGGUUCUGUAUGGAAGGGCCAUCGCUCAACGGAUAAAAGGUACUCCGGGGAUAACAGGCUGAUACCGCCCAAGAGUUCAUAUCGACGGCGGUGUUUGGCACCUCGAUGUCGGCUCAUCACAUCCUGGGGCUGAAGCCGGUCCCAAGGGUAUGGCUGUUCGCCAUUUAAAGUGGUACGCGAGCUGGGUUUAGAACGUCGUGAGACAGUUCGGUCCCUAUCUGCCGUGGACGUUUGAGAUUUGAGAGGGGCUGCUCCUAGUACGAGAGGACCGGAGUGGACGAACCUCUGGUGUUCCGGUUGUCACGCCAGUGGCAUUGCCGGGUAGCUAUGUUCGGAAAAGAUAACCGCUGAAAGCAUCUAAGCGGGAAACUUGCCUCAAGAUGAGAUCUCACUGGAACCUUGAGUUCCCUAAAGGGCCGUCGAAGACUACGACGUUGAUAGGUUGGGUGUGUAAGCGCUGUGAGGCGUUGAGCUAACCAAUACUAAUUGCCCGUGAGGCUUGACCAUAUAACACCCAAGCAAUU
rnacentral:rRNA from 1 species